UGAUUUAAUUAUUUACUAAGAAAAUACUUCUUCAAUUUUUUUAUAAAAGAAAUUUCUUACAAGAAAAUUCUUUUUUCAAAAAGCUAAUUCAAUUCCACCUUAAACCUAAGUUUACUCAUACCGAGAGAGGAGGAGCGUUUCGAGAAGAGGAGAGAGAGGUGUUCUGCCUCCGCCUCCGCCCUGUUACUGCCACGAUCUGCCGUCCCGGUCCGUUGGAACCGCCACAGGUUCUGCCACCGCCUCUGUUUCUGCUUCUGCCCCUGCCUUUCCGUGACGCCGUCUCUUCCUGUUUCUGCCUUGCCACGCUGGUGCUGCAUGGUGUGGGUGUUGUUGCGAGCUACGUUGCUGGUGUUGUUCGGCCAGCCACCCCACCGUUUAUGUCCUGCUCCGCCAUUGCCGCUGCAGCUCCGCAACCAUCUGCCGAAGCUACUGCCGAGGAGCUACUAGCUACCGCCACCGCAACCUCACCUCCAUUUUCUGCAAAUUAGUCACUUUGAGCUGGUGUGACGCAUGACAAACACUCAACGUCUUCCUUCUGCUGCUUUCGCAACCACCCCACCAAUCUCACUGGAUGCUGACUGCACUGGACAACAGGAGAUGGUUCGACAAAGUAUAUAUUCCAAUUUUGUGAGUAUGGUCUGAGCAAUUCUAAAAUGGACUUGCCUAAUUGUGAUAACCAGCUGGAAGUUUCCAUUAGGAAGACAGCUCUGAGAGAUCUACAGAGCGAUAAUAAAAUGACAAAGCCUACCUUUGUAAGCUCCUCAUUGUUGAAGGAUAGAGAUGCUGGUCCUGAUUCUACUAGUGUUUCUGGCUCCAAGAGACUCUUGCCUGAUUUCCCAGUGAAUCACCUUAUUCAACAAUCUACUGGAAAUAAUGCUGCAAAUGGACAUCUUGUGUAUGUCCGCAGAAAAUCAGAGGCAGAAUUGGGCAAGAGCACUGCUUGCGAAAAUCCAAGUAUUAAUGCUUAUUGUCAGCAUUUGAGCCAGCUUUGUUGUGAACAGGAGACUGCUCAACUAAAGCCUCUGAUAAAGGCACCAAAGGUUUCAUGUUUUCCAGCAUUUGCACCUUUUCCAAUGACUUCUUCAAUGAGCUCAUCCAGAAAGCCUUCGGUACCUAUUUCUCUUGGGAAAUCUCCCUUGAGGCUACCACCGAUUGAGUCGAAUUAUAUGACAGCUUCCUCUGGCCCUGCCAGUGGUAAUCCAAAGGGAUUGAAAAGUGUGCAUUGGGAGGAGCGAUACCAACAAUUGCAGAUGUUUUUAAGGAAACUAGACCACUCUGACCAAGAAGAAUAUAUCCAAAUGCUUCGAUCACUUUCCUCUGUGGAACUUAGCAGACAUGCUGUAGAGCUGGAGAAGAGAUCAAUUCAGCUAUCACUAGAGGAAGCGAAAGAAUUAAAGCGUGCUGCUGUUUUAGAUGUCUUGGGAAAAUCAGUGAAGAAAUUCAAAGAACCUGAAGACACUGCUGAGUGAUCAGAUAAGUUGAAGAUAUCCUCAUGAUCAUCCUAGCAGUUGAACUCUUAUUAACUUAAUGAAGCUGUAGAAAUUUUAUGACUGAUGCCUUGUGUGCUUGUAUGUUUCAUGGGUUUCUCUAGUGGACUACGAAUUUGUCUCACCACUUUAUUGUGAAAAAAUCAGGAAUUUUGUACGGUAAUGCUUCUUUCUGCUUGCAAUUCAGCAAAAUUGUUUUCAGGGAGAAAUGUAAGCCGCUAUGGCAAGAUAGCUGUAGAAUUAAGAAAAAGACGCUCUUAUGUAUUUUUUGAGUGAAUCUAUUUUUACUGGGAUAAAAAUUACCUAAA